rnacentral:lncRNA from 1 species
GGUCUCGGAGGGAAGGAUGAGAGCCAACUAGUUAAAUCUGGUAAAGCCGUGUCAGAGGCAAUCAAACACCUGAAAGAAAGAAGCAUAGCAUUUCCUUCAUACAUCAUGGAAACAAAACUACAACUAAAAUAUUUGGAAAUGGGAGUUAUCAUAAAAAAAAAAAAUCACAUUAUGCCUGAAGGAAUUGAAAUUGCUUAGCAAUAUUUCCGAUAUGGCUCUAGCCCACUGAAGAAACUUGUUAUUUAAGAAGAAGCACUUUUAGAGACCGAAGUCAACAGACCAUUACACUAAGAAAUGUUCCAAAUGUCCAAAUGUCAUUAAAUAAUUAUAAAUAU